rnacentral:rRNA from 1 species
UGAGUAACACGUAUCCAACCUGCCGUCUACUCUUGGCCAGCCUUCUGAAAGGAAGAUUAAUCCAGGAUGGCAUCAUGAGUUCACAUGUCCGCAUGAUUAAAGGUAUUCCGGUAGACGAUGGGGAUGCGUUCCAUUAGAUAGUAGGCGGGGUAACGGCCCACCAGCUCGAUGGAUAGGGGUUCUGAGAGGAAGGUCCCCCACAUUGGAACUGAGACACGGCCAA